rnacentral:rRNA from 1 species
UACGUAGGGGGCAAGCGUUGUCCGGAAUUAUUGGGCGUAAAGGGCGCGCAGGCGGCUACGCACGUCCGUUGUGAAAUCGCUCGGCUCAACUGGGCGGGGUCAGCGGAUACGGCGUGGCUGGAGCAAGCUAGGGGGCAAUGGAAUUCCCGGUGUAGUGGUGGAAUGCGUAGAUAUCGGGAGGAACACCAGUGGCGAAGGCGGUUGCCUGGAGCUUUGCUGACGCUGAGGCGCGAAAGCGUGGGGAGCGAGCCGG